rnacentral:lncRNA from 1 species
GAGGGAGACACAGAAUCGGAAACAGGCUCCAGGCUCUGAGCCAUCAGCCCAGAGCCUGACGCGGGGCUCGAACUCACGGACCGCGAGAUCGUGACCUGAGCUGAAGUCAGACGCUUAACCCACUGAGCCACCCAGGCGCCCCGUCAGUGUAACUUUCAGCUCCACUCCCCACUCCAGAAAUAGGAGAAACUUGGCAGAAUCAGCGGAACGUGUGUGACCUUCACUGCAUUGUUGAAUGAUUGCCCAUCAGAAAAUACAAAGAGUAAAAGACUACUAGGCAAGGCUACACCUCUCUCAAGAGUCAUAGUACAAGUUCCCUGCAGGGCUGAGUUGGAAGCUGAUUGAUAUCACACUGAAUGACUUCACCCCUUCAACAGCUUAACUUCCUUUUGUGUUGAGCAUCAGCCAAAUAUAUUGACCUAAACCUUG